rnacentral:rRNA from 1 species
UACGUAGGGUGCGAGCGUUAAUCGGAAUUACUGGGCGUAAAGCGCGCGUAGGCGGCUUUGUAAGUUAGAGGUGAAAGCCCGAAGCUCAACUUCGGAAUUGCCUUUAAGACUGCAUCGCUAGAAUCAUGGAGAGGUUAGUGGAGUUCCGAGUGUAGAGGUGAAAUUCGUAGAUAUUCGGAAGAACACCAGUGGCGAAGGCGACUAACUGGACAUGUAUUGACGCUGAGGUGCGAAAGCGUGGGGAGCAAACAGG